rnacentral:rRNA from 1 species
UACGUAGGUGGCGAGCGUUACUCGGAAUUACUAGGCGUAAAGCGCGUGUAGGCGGGAGGUUAAGUCUGCUGUUAAAUCUCACAGCUCAACUGUGAAAUGCCGGCGGAUACUGGCCUUCUUGAAUUCGGUAGAGGAAACUGGAAUUCCAGGUGUAGCGGUGAAAUGCGUAGAUAUCUGGAAGAACGCCAAAGGCGAAGGCAGGUUUCUGGGCCGCAAUUGACGCUGAGACGCGAAAGCUAGGGGAGCAAAC